rnacentral:rRNA from 1 species
UACGAAGGGGGCUAGCGUUGUUCGGAAUUACUGGGCGUAAAGCGCGUGUAGGCGGUUGUUCAAGUCGGGUGUGAAAGCCUUGAGCUCAACUCAAGAAAUGCACUCGAUACUGGAUGACUAGAGGACCGGAGAGGAUAGUGGAAUUCCCAGUGUAGUGGUGAAAUACGUAGAGAUUGGGAAGAACACCAGUGGCGAAGGCGGCUAUCUGGACGGUUUCUGACGCUAAGACGCGAAAGCGUGGGGAGCAAACAGG